CGUCACAUCCGGGCAGAUAGUUCAUUUGAUCCGGCGGCAGAAGAAUCGAGAGACUGAAGACAUGCGUGUUACAUCCAACAUCAACUUGUCGAGGUCAGCAAACAUGAAGCCCUGCCUGGCUCUGACCACCUGACACACAUCCGGUGCUCAAGAAUGACUGAGCACACGAGAUAUGAAUGCCUGGCUGGAUGGGGGAGGGGAGCCACCAACCCGCGUGGAGGUGAAGUGCAGGGAGCAGUCUGCAGGACAGCACACAUGAAGCCCUGCCUGGCUCGCACCACCUUGACUUGACCUCUGGUGCUCAACUAUGACUCCUGACAAGGAGAGCGAACAUGAAGCUCUGCUUGACUCGGACCACCUGACUUGACCUCUGGUGCUCAAGUGUGACUGAGCUGACACGGGUUUUGCAGCUUCCUCUCGGCCUCGAGGAGAAGAGUUCACCGGCAGCCGCGCUGGCCCACGCUGCCUGACCCGACUCUCAAGCAGAUGCAGCAUGACCCCCCCCCCCCCCCAACAGACGGAUGGCUUUUUGUAAUGGAAGAUAAUUCAUCCGCUGAAGAGAACGAGUCGCAUUUGUAUGAUUGCAGGAAAAUCUAUUUGUUGUAAAAGAAUAAAGGAACAUGUUAUCAGAA